rnacentral:rRNA from 1 species
UACGUAGGGUGCAAGCGUUGUCCGGAUUUACUGGGUUUAAAGGGAGCGUAGGCGGAUCUUUAAGUCAGUGGUGAAAGCUCUCAGCUUAACUGGGAAACUGCCAUUGAAACUGAAGAUCUCGAGUAUGGUUGAGGUUACUGGAAUGUUGCAUGUAGCGGUGAAAUGCUUAGAUAUGCAACAGAACACCAAUUGCGAAGGCAGGUAACUAAGCCAUAACUGACGCUGAGGCUCGAAAGCGUGGGGAGCAAACAGG